rnacentral:lncRNA from 1 species
CCACCAUUGAUUAACGAUAAAUUUCAUAAUUGUUUCAUGCGACCUUUCCAUAAGUAGAGCGUGUGGGUGUGUGUGUGUGUGUGCUUGUGUUCCUGCAUUAAUGUAUCUGUACAUGUGUGUAUAUUAUGUGUAUGUAUGUGCAUAUAUAUAUCACCAUGAUCACCGUGACCGACCAGGCUAUCAGAUGUUGUUACACAUCGCUGGUCACAAUGUGCUUCGCAUUGUUUUAGCCUUCAAUGACACUACCCUGCUGGCUAAGCGAGCAGGCCAAUAUAUAUACAUAUAUAUAUAUAUACAUAUAUAUAUAUAUCAUGCCCCAGUAUGGCCACAGUUAAAUGGCUGAAACAAGUAAAAGCUAAAAGAUAAAAAAUAUAUAUAUAUGUGUACAAACAUAUCAUCAUGAUCAUGAUAAUCAUCACUUAACGUCCCUUUUUCCAUGCUGGCAUGGGUUGGAUGGUUCAACAUAAACUAAGCUGCAGGGCCAUACUGAGCCCCAGUGUCUUAAUCCUAACCACUCCACAGAAUAUACUGGGCUUUUUAUUUGUAGCCCCUGCACUAUUGAGGUCAUCAAGUACCCACCAGACAAAACCCCUUCAAUUGAGUGGGGUAUAUAUGCAUGUUUGUAUAUAAAAGGGUCAUGAAUGACCAUGUGAUUGCCCCUAGAAAGUUCCCUCCGUGGCACAAGUCCAGGCAUUGUUCUUUAUGGAAGACCUGUCGUCGCCCAUGUGUACCAACCUCCCUUCUCUACGCCACCGAUGUUUUCCCAGGGAAAGGCAAAGAGGCCGACACAGUUUGGCACCAGUGAUGUCGCAACUCAUUUCUACAGCUGAGUGAACUGGAGCAAUGUGAAAUAAAGUGUCUUGCUCAAGAACACAACACAGAGUCCCGUUUGGGAAUCAAACUCAUUACCUCAUGAUUGUGAGCCCAACGAUCUAACCACUGAGCCAUGCGCCAUCACUUUUAGAAGAAAAGGGGUGACAGUGACUUCGAAGUGUCACCCUACUAGCCUUUCUCAGUCUGACAGAGGCUAAUAGACUAAAACUUCAAAGUCACUGUCAACCUGCUGCUUGUAAAUGUUUAAUAAAUAUGCAUGCUACUGAAAAGAGGAUGGACUAUUCGGUUUAAUGUAAAACUGUUUUUGUUUAUAAUCGUGACGUAUAUUUGCCAUUUGAAUAUGGCUAACCCCUAAGGGUGGAUGCUACUGUAGUUUGUAGCCCCAGGAAGACACCUCCUCCAGCUGGCUAUGAGAUUUAUCAAUGUUUUGUUUAUAACUUAACACAAAAACAAACAUUAAUAAAAAUAGUUAGACGCAUGUAUGUCUGUGUUUGUGUGUGUGUGUGUCUGUAUAUAUAUAUAUAUAUAUAUAUAUAUAUAUACACAUACACACACACACAUAGAUAGAUAAAUGAUAAGAAAUUUUAAAUGGCGUUUUCUACCAUUUUCUAUCAUUUAUUUAUAUAAACAUUGCAAAUGCUAUGGAUUUCCUGUUGUAUGUCCUGAGCAAGAGCUUUUCCACUGUAUGAUGACGUCAAGUAGCCAAUAACUGGGAAUGAGCUUUGCACGAGAUUCUACAACAUUUUUACCAGAAUCUUAUUUAACUAUAUAUAUCUAUAUCUAUAUAUAUAUAUAUAUAUAUAUAUAUAUAUAUAGUAAAAAUCAUGUAAAAAGCACCUUCCAAGCACUGGGCCUCACAGGGUCACAAUGACAAAUAACUAAGACCUUUGACAAUAUGCUGUGCUUGAGAUGAAGACCCAUGAAGCCAAGUGAAAUAAAUAGCCGUGGCAGAUAUUGGUGUGAUGCAUAGUGACACCCAUGCCGGUGGCAUGUAAAAGCUCCUAUCACACUCUCGGAGUGGUUGGCAUUAGGAAGGGCACCCAGCUGUAGAAACCAUGCCAAAUCAGACACUAGAAGCUGGUGCAGCCCCUCAGCUUACCAGGCCUGACCAAACCGUCCAACCCAUGCCAGCAGGGACAACAGAUGCUAAAUUAUGAUGAUAUAUAAGUGUGUGUGUACGUGUGUGUAUGUGGAAUAUCAUUGCUAGAAUGUUGCCAUGCCCACCUCUCACUAAAUCCUGUUCAUGAUUAAACAUGUGCGUGUUGUUGUGCAUCUGACGUUCUUUUACAGAACAGAACUUUUUUCAGGGCUCCAACAACAGUUUUCUUGUAAAUGUGUAGUGGUGGUGGUAGUGGUGGUGGUGGUGGUGGUGGUGGUGGUGGUGGUGUUGGGUGUAGUUGAUGGUUAUGUAGGUAUGUGUAUAUGUCAUGGGGAGAGAGGUUGCAUUUAUGCUACAUAUGUGUGUGUGUGUGUGUGUGUAUAUAUAUAUAUCGGUCAAAUGCAUGUCAGGUAAGGCAGCAUAUAUAAAUACAUACGCAUGCAUAUACACACAUGCUAAUAUGCAUAUAUGCAGAGAUAGACAUUAUUGAUAUUAUGUAUGUAUAUAUAUAUAUAUAUAUAUACACACACACACACACACACACAUAUGUAUAUGUAUAUAUAUAUGUACAUAUAUAAAACUAUACGUAUAUACUAUAUACAUGCAUACAUAUAUAUAUAUAUAUAUACACAUGCACAUUCGUAUGCAUAUGUAUAUAUUAUUUUGUGUGUGUGCGUGUGUCUGUGUGUACGUAUACAUACAAAUGCAUUUAGAUAGCAUAUUUCCUUAGAUAUCAUUGUAUACAUAUAAAUGUAUAAUUAUACAAUUCUAUACAUAUAUUUGAAUGUUUGUAUGUAUGAGUGAAAGAAAAAGAGAGAGAAUUGGAUGACCUUUUUCUGUGCAAUAAUGCUUGCAUGUUUCAGUUGAGUUCUUCAAAUUUUUGUGUUGGGUGUAGAAUCCUAAAUACUUCUUCCCUAUCUGAACAUGUGGCUCCUGAAAUCUGUCAACAUUCCACUCAGGUUUCUGCUUAGAAAAACCAAACGAUGGUGAAAGGUUGGGGCAGGGAUCUCCGGGACCCGAUAAUUUAGUGGGGCCCUACUGAUGCCCUCAUUUUCUUGGCCUAUUGAGUCGACUCCCUCGUGGGAUCAGCUUGGUAUUUUAGUGUUGCAAGAUCAAGGCUACCGUAAUUUGUACACUUGGGGCCUGAAUUCAAGGAAAUAUCUUAAGAUCCCAAUCUGUAUUUCUGGGAUGAUUACAGUGUAGCCACUAGUAUCCGUGGGCAUUGGGUUACUCUUUUUUUACUUUACUCUUUUACUUGUUUCAGUCAUUUGACUGCGGCCAUGCUGGAGCACCGCCUCUAGUCAAGCAACUCGACCCCGGGACUUAUUCUUUUUGUAAGCCCAGUACUUAUUCUAUUGGUCUCUUUUUGUCGAACCGCUAAGUUACGGGGACGUAAACACACCAGCAUCGGUUGUCAAGCAAUGCUAGGGGGACAAACACAGACACACAAACAUAUACACACUUAUAUAUAUAUACAUACAUACGACAGGCUUCUUUCAGUUUCCGUCUACCAAAUCCACUCACAAGGCUUUGGUCGGCCCAAAGCUAGAGUAGAAGACACUUGCCCAAGGUGCCACGCACACAAACACAACACCUACGCACACCCAUAAGUGUAUAAGGAGCUAAAAGAACACACCCCUGAUAUGUGCCCCUUUCUUCUGUCCUUAAUGUUAUCCAGUUACUCUCCCCCACUUACCCCUAGCCCUAUCUUACCCCUACCCCAUUCCAUCUCACAAACACUACAAAUUUCAAGUUUUGUUUUUAUUUUUCGAUAUCUAAUUUCACCUCAUUAAAAUUUUAAUUAAGUUCCUUAAAUUUGAAUAAAAACUUAAAACUGUGUCACCACCCACUCUCCUGUUAACGAAGGGGUUGUUUCUGUAAUUAGAUCACCUCCAUGCAUGGAUCCUCUGUCUGCUAGAAAUAGAAGUUAAAUCCUCCUCACAAAUCACACCACCCCAGGGACUUUUCAGCACUUUUUAUUUCUAUUUCUAAAAAAUAGAAAAGGUUGCACUGAAUGCUGUAAAUACAAUAUUGAAAAUACAAUAUUCGAGUGUUGGUCAUGGCUGGAAUGCUUUUGAUCAUAUACCUGCUGCACAGAGCUAUCUCAAGGCUAAAUCAACAACUGCAACAGUUGCGUAAUUGCAGUGUGCAGCAAUUUAUCUUUCUAUUUUGGGAAUGUUUUUUUAACAACGCUGCAUCUGCUCCAAAUUGAAAAAUAUGUAAACACCUUCCGCGCUCGUUGAUGUGGGUACAUGCAUGCGUGCAUGCAAGCAUGUGUGUGUGCGUGUGUGUGUAUGCGUAUGUGUGCACGUGUGUGUGUGUGUGUGUAUACAUAUGCGCAUACAUAUAUAUAAGUAUAUACAUGUUUAUAGAUGUAUAUGCACAUAGCGAUAUCUCUCUCAGUCUCUCCCCAUGUAUGUAUAUGUGUGUGUAUAUAUAUAUAUAUAUAUAUAUAUAUAUAUAUAUAUAAACACAUACACACACAGAUAUGUGUGUGCAUGUCUGUUUGUGUGUGUGUGUGUAUAUAUAUAUAUAUAUAUACACAUAUAUAUAUACACAUAUAUAUAUGUGUGUAUGUAUGUAUAUAUAUAUAUGGCGGGGGGUAUUAUUUUUAGCUCUUAUUUCUAGCUGUGUAAGUGUUUUUUAACACCCUAAUCACAUUUAGUAACAAUUAUAUUUCUCCAUUUUGGGGUAACUUUGCAAACUGCUAUUUACAUUAAUAAUUUCUGUUAGCUACUUAUGACGUUAUAUCAUAUAACGUUUUUUUAAACAAUAUUUUAAUAGCGUUCUCUCAAUCGCUAUACAAAUCCAUCAUUUUUUGCUAAAAUAUUCUUAUUGACGAGUUUCUUUUUUUUUUUCACUUUCCUGAAGAGAAGAUUGCAUUGUUUAUACCAUUUAUUCUUUUGAAUAGUAUCAGUGGAAUUUUCGAAACAUGUGUCGGAAGUAAAAAUAUUUGAUUUACACCUGCGUUAAACUCCAUUUAUUUAUUCAUAUAUAUAUAUAUAUAUAAAUCAAUAAAUGGUGGGGUUGUAUUGACAGUGAGAUACUUUUAUAGGUUAAUAGGAGUAAAGAGAGAAAGGCCUAAAAUACAAACAGCUAUGUGGAUGGACGAUAUGCAUUUAAUAUUGAGAGUGUUCAACUGUGCAAGUAAGGGAGACAAUUCCAGUCAUGUUCCAUUCAUUCUUUCCAAGAUCUCUUCUAAGAAACACAGAAUUAUUAACAAUAAUCCACCCACUCAGUCUCCUCACUCCAUGCUGCUUACAUUUAUCCGAAGGGAAGGUCGCUAAUAUGGACCAUUACAGAUUAGCACCAAGGUCAUCAUAGGUGUUAUUGUCGAAAUCCCAAGAGCUGCAACAAAUGUACCCCAAGGAAUCUUGCUAGUCCUUCUAACAGUUCUGCCUAUUUGCAGUUCUUGAUCAUUAGCUAUUUCUGUUGUGUUUUAUUUUUUGUUUUUUCAUUAUGUAUGGACCCUGAAAGGAUGAAACGUCAAGUUGAUUUGGCAAGAUUUGAACUCAGAUUUGUAGAGGGUUGGAAUUACUUAUGCAAGACAUUCUGCCUGACUGUUUAACAACACUGUACACACACACACACAGACACACACACACACACACACACACACACACACACACAAUGGCCUUGCACACAGUUCCAUCUACCAAAGUUACUCUAUAGAAGAUUGUUAUCCAAGAUGUAGCACAGUCGGACUGAACCUUGAAACCCAUGGUUGUAAAGCAGACAGCCAUGCUUAUGCCUAUUGAUAUAUAUAUAUAUUAUAUGUAUGUAUAUAUAUAUAUAUGUGUGUGUGUGUGUGUGUGUGUGUGUG